rnacentral:rRNA from 1 species
AACGAACGCUGGCGGCAGGCUUAACACAUGCAAGUCGAGCGCCCCGCAAGGGGAGCGGCAGACGGGUGAGUAACGCGUGGGAAUCUACCCAUCUCUACGGAAUAACGCAUGGAAACGUGUGCUAAUACCGUAUACGUCCUUCGGGAGAAAGAUUUAUCGGAGAUGGAUGAGCCCGCGUUGGAUUAGCUAGUUGGUGGGGUAAAGGCCUACCAAGGCGACGAUCCAUAGCUGGUCUGAGAGGAUGAUCAGCCACACUGGGACUGAGACACUGCCCAGACUCCUACGGGAGGCAGCAGUGGGGAAUAUUGGACAAUGGGCGCAAGCCUGAUCCAGCUAUGCCGCGUGAGUGAUGAAGGCCCUAGGGUUGUAAAGCUCUUUCACCGGUGAAGAUAAUGACGGUAACCGGAGAAGAAGCCCCGGCUAACUUCGUGCCAGCCGCCGCGGUAAAAC